rnacentral:lncRNA from 1 species
CCAUCCACAUAAUUAAUCAACACAAUGCCAUAUUAAUCAACACAUAAUUAAGCUUAGUUUUGUUUUUACUAGGUUACCUAUGAAUGCUUGUUAUACAGAUUUACGUAUAAUUACGUACCUUAUAUAAAUACUGGGUAGUUGUUGUUGUAUAAAACAAGCUAAGGCCGGGACGUUACCAACUUUGAAUAUGUCCCAAAAGUGUGUUUCUUAAUCAGGACUUUGAUCAGAUCGUCGGCAUAGACAUCAUCUCCACUAGGCAUACCUAAGAAUAUAUAUAACAACAACAACAACAAGUACCCAGUGUAUUCCCACCAGGUGGGGUCUGGAAGCUUUUUUAAUUCAGAAAUGUGGCUGCUGGGAUUCGAGCCCAGGUCUCCACGGCCACAACGUGGAAUUCUCACCACUAAACUACAGCCACAUAGAUGCUUGUUUUUGUACAAUAGUAAUAUAUAUAUAAUAAUAAUAACAUUGCCCAAAUUAAGGUAUUUUCUCUUUCUUGUUUCAUAAUAUUAAAUAUUUAUAUCCUCGUGUUAGUUUUUAAGAGUUAAUAGUACAGUACCAAAUGUAGAAGUUGCUGAAUUGGUGAUUUAAGAAAUGUUGUCUCUCUUAGCGUUUGUCAUGUCACUAUGUCAGAGUUAUGAAAUGAAAAAACUUUAUGGAAUUAGGACGACGUCAAGGCAAAUUAAAACAACCAUAAUUAUAUAACAACAACAACAACAAGUACCCAGUGUAUUCCCACCAGGUGGGGUCUGGAAGCUUUUUUAAUUCAGAAAUGUGGCUGCUGGGAUUCGAGCCCAGGUCUCCACGGCCACAACGUGGAAUUCUCACCACUAAACUACAGCCACAUUAGAAUAUAUAUAACAAAUGAAUGGAAAUAUUCAUACACGGAUAUAUCAUAAUUAAUCAGUAUUAUUUAAAUUCUUAAGAAAUAUAUAAUGCAUGGUAAUUAAAGGUAAAUGAAAC